rnacentral:rRNA from 1 species
UACAGAGGGUGCGAACGUUGUUCGGAAUCACUGGGCAUAAAGCGCACGUAGGCGGCACCGCAAGUGUGGAGUGAAAUCCCACGGCUUACCCGUGGAACUGCUUGGCAGACUGCGGUGCUAGAGGUUGGUAGGGGAGAGCGGAACUCUUGGUGGAGCGGUGAAAUGCGUAGAGAUCGAGAGGAACACCAGUGGCGAAGGCGAGUUCCUGGACAAGUCCUGACGCUGAGGCACGAAAGCCAGGGGAGCAAACAGG